AUCGCUUCUCAUCCUUAUGCCUAAGAUCAAGUGUAGUAUCUGUUCUUAUCAGUUUAAUAAUGGCAAAUAUUUUCCUUACUAAAUUGCAUAUAAUCAAAAAUCUGGAGGAAGUACAUACUCGUUUGAAUGAGUUUGCAUUGUAAUUUUUCUCUUCACGUGCUGAUUUAGAUUCUCUGCGUUGCAGAGGAUGACUG